rnacentral:rRNA from 1 species
GACGAACGCUGGCGGCGUGCUUAACACAUGCAAGUCGAACGGAAAGGCCCUGCUUUUGUGGGGUGCUCGAGUGGCGAACGGGUGAGUAACACGUGAGUAACCUGCCCUUGACUUUGGGAUAACUUCAGGAAACUGGGGCUAAUACCGGAUAGGAGCUCCUGCUGCAUGGUGGGGGUUGGAAAGUUUCGGCGGUUGGGGAUGGACUCGCGGCUUAUCAGCUUGUUGGUGGGGUAGUGGCUUACCAAGGCUUUGACGGGUAGCCGGCCUGAGAGGGUGACCGGCCACAUUGGGACUGAGAUACGGCCCAGACUCGUACGGUAGGCAGCAGUGGGGAAUAUUGCACAAUGGGCGGAAGCCUGAUGCAGCAACGCCGCGUGCGGGAUGACGGCCUUCGGGUUGUAAACCGCUUUCGCCUGUGACGAAGCGUGAGUGACGGUAAUGGGUAAAGAAGCACCGGCUAACUACGUG